rnacentral:rRNA from 1 species
ACGCAACUUUCCUCUAAGCGGGGCAUAGCUCGGAGAAAUCCGGAUUAAUACCCCAUAACAUUGCAGAUAGGCAUCUAUCAACAAUUAAAGAUUUAUCACUUAGAGAUGGGCGUGCGGCUGAUUAGGUAGUUGGCGGGGUAACGGCCCACCAAGCCUGCGAUCAGUAACUGGUGUGAGAGCACGACCAGUCACACGGGCACUGAGACACGGGCCCGACUCCUACGGGAGGCAGCAGUAAGGAAUAUUGGUCAAUGGACGAAAGUCUGAACCAGCCAUGCCGCGUGGAGGAUGAAGGCCCUCUGGGUUGUAAACUUCUUUUAUCUGGGACGAAAAAGGACCUUUCUAGGUCAACUGACGGUACCAGAGGAAUAAGCACCGGCUAACUCCGUGCCAGCAGCCGCGGUAAUACGGAGGGUGCAAGCGUUAUCCGGAUUCACUGGGUUUAAAGGGUGCGUAGGUGGGCAGGUAAGUCAGUGGUGAAAUCUCUGGGCUUAACCCGGAAACUGCCAUUGAUACUAUUUGUCUUGAAUAUUGUGGAGGUCAGCGGAAUAUGUCAUGUAGCGGUGAAAUGCUUAGAUAUGACAUAGAACACCAAUUGCGAAGGCAGCUGGCUACACAUAUAUUGACACUGAUGCACGAAAGCGUGGGGAUCAAACAGGAUUAGAUACCCUGGUAGUCCACGCCCUAAACGAUGGAUACUCGACAUACGCCAUAUACUGUGUGUGUCUG